UGGGGGAUCUUGCGCUAAUGCGCGAAAGCGUGACGCAGCGACGCCGCGUGGGGGAUGAAGGCCCUCGGGUUGUAAACCCCUUUCGGUCAGGGAGCGAAGGGAAAGCAUGACGGUACCGUGCAGAAGAAGUCCCGGACUCAACUACGUGCCAGCAGCCGCGGUAACACGUAGGGGACGAGCGUUGUCCGGAUUCAUUGGGCGUAAAGCGCGCGUAGGCGGCUCGGAAAGUCGGGCGUGAAAUGCCGGGGCUCAACCCCGGACGUGCGUCCGAUACUUCCGAGCUGGAGGUAGGUAGGGGAGAUCGGAAUUCCUGGUGUAGCGGUGAAAUGCGCAGAUAUCAGGAGGAACACCGGUGGCGAAGGCGGAUCUCUGGGCCUUUACCUUGACGCUGAGGCGCGAAAGCUAGGGGAGCGAACA
rnacentral:rRNA from 1 species